ACACGACUACAUUAGAUACCCGCGUAGUCCUAGCCGUAAACGAUACUCGCUAGGUGUCGGCCACGGUGCGACCGUUGUCGGUGCCGUAGGGAAGCCGUGAAGCGAGCCACCUGGGAAGUACGGCCGCAAGGCUGAAACUUAAAGGAAUUGGCGGGGGAGCGCCACAACGGGUGGAGCUUGCGGUUUAAUUGGAUUCAACGCCGGAAAUCUUACCGGGACCGACAGCAACAUGAAGGCCAGGCUGAAGACUUUGCCGGAUUAGCUG
rnacentral:rRNA from 1 species